GACGAACGCUGGCGGCGUGCCUAAUACAUGCAAGUAGAACGCUGAAGGAGGAGCUUGCUCUUCUGGAUGAGUUGCGAACGGGUGAGUAACGCGUAGGUAACCUGCCUGGUAGCGUGGGAUAACUAUUGGAAACGAUAGCUAAUACCGCAUAACAGUAGAUGUUGCAUGACAUUUGCUUAAAAGGUGCAAUUGCACCACUACCAGAUGGACCUGCGUUGUAUUAGCUAGUUGGUGGGGUAACGGCUCACCAAGGCGACGAUACAUAGCCGACCUGAGAGGGUGAUCGGCCACACUGGGACUGAGACACGGCCCAGACUCCUACGGGAGGCAGCAGUAGGGAAUCUUCGGCAAUGGACGGAAGUCUGACCGAGCAACGCCGCGGGAGUGAAGAAGGUUUUCGGAUCGUAAAGCUCUGUUGUAAGAGAAGAACGAGUGUGAGAGUGGAAAGUUCACACUGUGACGGUAUCUUACCAGAAAGGGACGGCUAACUACGUG
rnacentral:rRNA from 1 species